UACGUAGGGGGCAAGCGUUAUCCGGAUUCACUGGGUGUAAAGGGAGCGUAGACGGCCAUGCAAGCCUGGAGUGAAAGCCCGGGGCCCAACCCCGGGACUGCUCUGGGAACUGUGCGGCUGGAGUGCGGGAGGGGCAGGCGAAAUUCCUGGUGUAGCGGUGAAAUGCGUAGAUAUCAGGAGGAACACCGGCGGCGAAGGCGGCCUGCUGGACCGCGACUGACGUUGAGGCUCGAAAGCGUGGGGAGCAAACAGG
rnacentral:rRNA from 1 species